rnacentral:rRNA from 1 species
CGCUGCUAUCAUGCAGUCGAGCGGACAGAAGGGAGCUUGCUCCCGGAUGUUAGCGGCGGACGGGUGAGUAACACGUGGGUAACCUGCCUGUAAGACUGGGAUAACUCCGGGAAACCGGAGCUAAUACCGGAUAGUUCCUUGAACCGCAUGGUUCAAGGAUGAAAGACGGUUUCGGCUGUCACUUACAGAUGGACCCGCGGCGCAUUAGCUAGUUGGUGAGGUAACGGCUCACCAAGGCGACGAUGCGUAGCCGACCUGAGAGGGUGAUCGGCCACACUGGGACUGAGACACGGCCCAGACUCCUACGGGAGGCAGCAGUAGGGAAUCUUCCGCAAUGGACGAAAGUCUGACGGAGCAACGCCGCGUGAGUGAUGAAGGUUUUCGGAUCGUAAAGCUCUGUUGUUAGGGAAGAACAAGUGCAAGAGUAACUGCUUGCACCUUGACGGUACCUAACCAGAAAGCCACGGCUAACUACGUGCCAGCAGCCGCGGUAAUACGUAGGUGGCAAGCGUUGUCCGGAAUUAUUGGGCGUAAAGGGCUCGCAGGCGGUUUCUUAAGUCUGAUGUGAAAGCCCCCGGCUCAACCGGGGAGGGUCAUUGGAAACUGGGAAACUUGAGUGCAGAAGAGGAGAGUGGAAUUCCACGUGUAGCGGUGAAAUGCGUAGAGAUGUGGAGGAACACCAGUGGCGAAGGCGACUCUCUGGUCUGUAACUGACGCUGAGGAGCGAAAGCGUGGGGAGCGAACAGGAUUAGAUACCCUGGUAGUCCACGCCGUAAACGAUGAGUGCUAAGUGUUAGGGGGUUUCCGCCCCUUAGUGCUGCAGCUAACGCAUUAAGCACUCCGCCUGGGG